rnacentral:tRNA from 3 species
GGAGAGGUGGCCGAGUGGCUGAAGGCAGCGGUUUGCUAAACCGCUAAGGGGCCCUAAAACCCCUUCGCGAGUUCGAAUCUCGCCCUCUCCG